GGGAGCCCCUGGGCGCUCGAGUCCCCUGGGCCCUGGUCCGAGGCCCCCACUGGAGGGGCGAGGGAUACCGGGCUGGUUCUCCUCACCUUGGCUGAGACCCAGGGAGCCCAUGUCCACUGAGGUUUCCUCCGUGGCCUGAGUGUGGGUGGGCUCGCUUCCGAGUGCUCCUGUCUCCCUACUGGAGUCCACCGUCUACCCUGCACUGUCCUCUCCUGCCAGGGCAGGGGCGCUGGGCGUGGCCAUGGGGUGCCGUCAGGAGCCGGGUCUCUUAGGCUCAUGGACAACGAGCAGCCAUUUCCUGCCUCAGUCUCCCCACCUAUGGUGACAGCCCUCCCUCAAGGACAGGUGUGAGGUGAAGGCCGUUGCACACACACACAGGCACCUGGUGGGCAGGUGUGAGGAGAAGGCCACACACACACACACACACGGGCACCUGGUGGGCAGGUGUGAGGAGAAGGCCACACACACACACACACACACACACACGGGCACCUGGUGGGCAGGUGUGAGGAGAAGGCCAUCGCACACACACACGGGCACCUGGUGGGCAGGUGUGAGGAGAAGGCCACACACACACACACACACACACACACAUGGGCACCUGGUGGGCAGAUGUGAGGAGAAGGCCAUCGCACACACACACGGGCACCUGGUGGGCAGGUGUGAGGAGAAGGCCACACAUACACACACACGGGCACCUGGUGGGCAGGUGUGAGGAGAAGGCCACACAUACACACACACGGGCACCUGGUGGGCAGUGGUGGGAGCUUUGCUCACUUUGCUGGUGGUCAUGAAACGAGGACAGCAGACAUUCCUGUGCUCCAGGCCCACCCAGGUGUGACGUGCAGGUGUGCUGGGGUGACACUCCCGCCUCUCCUGAGGGGGGGGAUAUGGGGAAGAGGGCUGUUCCCUGACCCACCGCUCCUGUCCACAGGAUGCCGUCCCUGACCUUGGGCCCGGGUGGGCGCCAGGCCCAGGAAGGCCGGUCAGACCCCUUCCUCAGGCUGAGAAUCUGCAGCUCAGCCCACCUUCUCCAGACCUCUGCUGAGGGACUGGAGGUCCCUGGCACUAGACGGCCUCAGCCCCAGUCCCAGGACUAGAUCAAGGGGACUGGAGGCGACCGGGUGGUGUCCAGUCUCUG
rnacentral:lncRNA from 1 species